rnacentral:rRNA from 1 species
CGACCCCAGGUCAGGCGGGACUACCCGCUGAGUUUAAGCAUAUAAAUAAGCG